rnacentral:rRNA from 1 species
GAUGAACGCUGGCGGCGUGCCUAAUACAUGCAAGUCGAGCGAACAGACGAGGAGCUUGCUCCUCUGACGUUAGCGGCGGACGGGUGAGUAACACGUGGAUAACCUACCUAUAAGACUGGGAUAACUUCGGGAAACCGGAGCUAAUACCGGAUAACAUGUUGAACCGCAUGGUUCAACAGUGAAAGACGGUCUUGCUGUCACUUAUAGAUGCAUCCGGGCCGCAUUAGCUAGUUGGUAAGGUAACGGCUUACCAAGGCAACGAUGCGUAGCCGACGUGAGAGGGGGAUCGGCCACCCGGGAAGUGAGACACGGUCCAGACUCCUACGGGAGGCAGCAGUAGGGAACCUUCCGCAAUGGGCGAAAGCCUGACGGAGCAACGCCGCGUGAGUGAAGAAGGUCUUCGGAUCGUAAAACUCUGUUAUUAGGGAAGAACAAAUGUGUAAGUAACUAUGCACGUAUUGACGGUACCUAAUCAGAAAGCCACGGCUAACUACGUG